rnacentral:rRNA from 1 species
AUUGAACGCUGGCGGCAUGCUUUACACAUGCAAGUCGAACGGUAACAGGUUAAGCUGACGAGUGGCGAACGGGUGAGUAAUGCAUCGGAACGUGCCCGAUCGUGGGGGAUAACGCGGCGAAAGCUGCGCUAAUACCGCAUACGAUCUGAGGAUGAAAGCGGGGGACCGUAAGGCCUCGCGCGAUCGGAGCGGCCGAUGUCAGAUUAGGUAGUUGGUGGGGUAAAGGCCCACCAAGCCGACGAUCUGUAGCUGGUCUGAGAGGACGACCCGCCACACUGGGACUGAGACACGGCCCAGACUCCUACGGGAGGAAGCAGUGGGGAAUUUUGGACAAUGGGCGAAAGCCUGAUCCAGCAAUGCCGCGUGCAGGAAGAAGGCCUUCGGGUUGUAAACUGCUUUUGUACGGAGCGAAAAGGUCCUUUCUAAUACAAGGGGCUAAUGACGGUACCGUAAGAAUAAGCACCGGCUAACUACGUGCCAGCAGCCGCAGUAA